rnacentral:rRNA from 1 species
GGGGAAUAUUGCACAAUGGACGGAAGUCUGAUGCAGCAACGCCGCGUGCGGGAUGACGGCCUUCGGGUUGUAAACCGCUUUCAUCCAUGACGAAGCGAGAGUGACGGUAGUGGGAGAAGAAGCACCGGCUAACUACGUGCCAGCAGCCGCGGUGAUACGUAGGGUGCGAGCGUUGUCCGGAUUUAUUGGGCGUAAAGAGCUUGUAGGCGGUUUGUUGCGUCGGAAGUGAAAACUCAGGGCUUAACUCUGAGCCUGCUUUCGAUACGGGCAGACUUGAGGAAGGUAGGGGAGAAUGGAAUUCCUGGUGAAGCGGUGGAAUGCGUAGAUAUCAGGAGGAACACCGGUGGCGAAGGCGGUUCUCUGGACCUUUCCUGACGCUGAGAAGCGAAAGCGUGGGGAGCAAACA